rnacentral:rRNA from 1 species
GAUGAACGCUAGCGGGAGGCUUAACACAUGCAAGUCGUGGGGCAGCAUGGUGUAGCAAUACACUGAUGGCGACCGGCGCACGGGUGAGUAACGCGUAUGUAACCUACCCUGUACAGGGGGAUAGCCCGGAGAAAUUCGGAUUAAUACCCCAUAAUGAUAUCGAGAGGCAUCUUUUGAUAUUUAAAGCUUAGGCGGUACGGGAUGGGCAUGCGUGACAUUAGCUAGUUGGUAAGGUAACGGCUUACCAAGGCUGCGAUGUCUAGGGGUCCUGAGAGGGUGAUCCCCCACACUGGUACUGAGACACGGACCAGACUCCUACGGGAGGCAGCAGUGAGGAAUAUUGGUCAAUGGGCGUAAGCCUGAACCAGCCAUCCCGCGUGAAGGAAGAAGGCGCUAUGCGUCGUAAACUUCUUUUCCAGAGGAAUAAAAUUUUGUACGCGUACAGAACUGAAGGUACUCUGGGAAUAAGCAUCGGCUAACUCCGUGCCAGCAGCCGCCGUAAUAC